CAGUGUAGAGAUACUGAGUGACGAGUGUGGGUAGUUGUUAGAGAAUAACUAGUACUGAACGUAACCAUACGAGAGAUCACUUAGAUUUCUACUCGAUCAUCAGUAAUUAUCUCGAUGCUGUAGUUGUGUGAAUGAUCUUUUGAUCUACGAUGGUAAGAUUGCUCAUAGCGAGACUGCUGAAGUUUGACUGAUACAUAAAUAUGGUCUCAA
rnacentral:lncRNA from 1 species